UCCUGGCUCAGAUUGAACGCUGGCGGCAGGCCUAACACAUGCAAGUCGAACGGUAACAGGAAGAAGCUUGCUCUUGCUGACGAGUGGCGGACGGGUGAGUAAUGUCUGGGAAACUGCCUGAUGGAGGGGGAUAACUACUGGAAACGGUAGCUAAUACCGCAUAACGUCGCAAGACCAAAGAGGGGGACCUUCGGGCCUCUUGCCAUCGGAUGUGCCCAGAUGGGAUUAGCUUGUUGGUGGGGUAACGGCUCACCAAGGCGACGAUCCCUAGCUGGUCUGAGAGGAUGACCAGCCACACUGGAACUGAGACACGGUCCAGACUCCUACGGGAGGCAGCAGUGGGGAAUAUUGCACAAUGGGCGCAAGCCUGAUGCAGCCAUGCCGCCGUGUAUGAAGAAGGCCUUCGGGUUGUAAAGUACUUUCAGCGGGGAGGAAGGGAGUAAAGUUAAUACCUUUGCUCAUUGACGUUACCCGCAGAAGAAGCACCGGCUAACUCCGUGCCAGCAGCGGC
rnacentral:rRNA from 1 species